rfam:Triticum aestivum genome assembly, contig: Triticum_aestivum_CS42_TGACv1_scaffold_487173_6AS
AUGCUAUUCCCUCCGUCCCAAAAUUGGUCUUAGAUUUGUCUAAAUACGGAUGUAUCAAGUCAUGUUUUAGUAUUAGAUACAUUCAUAUCUAGACAAAUUUAAGACAAGAAUUUUGGGAUGGAGGGAGUAUUUG